rnacentral:tRNA from 1 species
GGGUCCAUAGCUCAGAUGGGAGAGUGCUUGGCUCGCAAUCAAGAGGUCAGGGGUUCGAUUCCCCUUGGAUCCACAA